GAGCGGCACCCAAACCCAUACCUGUUUGGAUUUGGAUUUGGAUUUGGAUUUGGAUGAAUGUGGUCUAAACGACAAUCUCUGCUUCGUUUCUCCUUCUUAUACUUUCUUGUUUCUUCUUCUAUUCGAGUUUGGCGCCAAGAAGAAGGGGUUACUGUGAAACCCUAACCUAAUCAUGCCAACGAGCAGAGGUUCUUCAGAGGCCAAAAAAUCGACGGGAGGCGCUCCAAUUUGCCUAUCAUAUGCGAAUUAUGCCUCGGGGACAACCCCUACGUUCGAAUGGUAUUUAUGUGAUGAGUUGAGGUCUUGUUCUUGUGGGCUGUCUGAUCUGGUUUCCUUUUAAAAUCAUCUGCCAGUUUGUCAUGAUGAUCAGUCAAGAGAUAUAUAUGGCUGGCCCAUGUUUGUGAAUAAUAAUUGAAGUUUUAACUUUUAAAUAGUCGUGCUUCCAGGAUUAUUCAUUUCUACUGUGUUGUUUGACAUUGUAUUUAGAACUUUUUAAUGUUUUACUUUUAAACAGAAUUGUGUUUUAUUUUUA